rnacentral:rRNA from 1 species
GCGAGUGAACCGGGAAGAGCUCAAAUUUGAAAUCUGGCGUGCUCAGUGCGUCCGAGUUGUAAUCUAUAGAGUCGUUUUCCGUGCCGGACUGUGUCCAAGUCCCUUGGAACAGGGUAUCAAAGAGGGUGAUAAUCCCGUACUUGACACAAUGACCGGUGCUCUGUGAUACGUCUUCUACGAGUCGAGUUGUUUGGGAAUGCAGCUCAAAAUGGGUGGUGAGUUCCAUCUAAAGCUAAAUAUUGGCGAGAGACCGAUAGCGAACAAGUACCGUGAGGGAAAGAUGAAAAGCACUUUGGAAAGAGAGUUAAACAGUACGUGAAAUUGUUAAAAGGGAAACGAUUGAAGUCAGUCGUGACUGAGAGGCUCAGCCGGUUCUGCCGGUGUAUUCCCCUCAGUCGGGUCAACAUCAGUUUUGUUCGGUGGAUAAGGGCAGUUGGAAGGUGGCACCCUCGGGUGUGUUAUAGCCAGCUGUCGCAUACAUCGGAUGAGACUGAGGAAUGCAGCUCGCCUUUAUGGCCGGGGUUCGCCCACGUUCGAGCUUAGGAUGUUGACAUAAUGGCUUUAAACGACCC